GACGAACGCUGGCGGCGUGCCUAAUACAUGCAAGUCGAACGCUUCUUUCCUCCCGAGUGCUUGCACUCAAGUGGAAAGAGGAGGGGCGGACGGGUGAGUAACACGUGGGUAACCUACCCAUCAGAGGGGGAUAACACGUUGAAACAGGUUCUAAGACCGCAUAACAGUUUAUUCCGCAUAGCAUAAGAGUGAAAGGCGCUUUCGGUUGUCGCUGACUGAUGUACCCGCGGUGCAUUAGCUAGUUGUUGAGGUAACGGAUCACCAAGGCAACGAUGCAUGGCCGACUUGAGAGGGUGAUCGGCCACCCUGGGAUGGAGACACGGCCAAGACUCCUACGGGAGGAGGCAGUAGGGAACCUUCGGAAAAGGACGAAAGUCUGACCGAGCACCGCGGCGUGAGGGAAGAAGGUUUCCGGAUCGUAAAACUCUGUUGUUAGAGAAGACCAAGGAGGUUAGUAACUGAACGCACUGUGACGGUAGCUAACCAGAAAGCCACGGCUAACUACGUG
rnacentral:rRNA from 1 species